UACGUAGGGACCAAGCGUUGUUCGGAUUUACUGGGCGUAAAGGGCGCGUAGGCGGCGUGACAAGUCACUUGUGAAAUCUCCGGGCUUAACUCGGAACGGUCAGAUGAUACUGUCUUGCUAGAGUGCAGAAGGGGCAAUCGGAAUUCCUGGUGUAGCGGUGAAAUGCGCAGAUAUCAGGAGGAACACCGGUGGCGAAGGCGGAUCUCUGGGCCGAUACUGACGCUGAGGAGCGAAAGCGUGGGGGAGCGAAACAGG
rnacentral:rRNA from 1 species